rnacentral:rRNA from 1 species
CCUACGGGGCGCUGUAGUGAGGAAUAUUGGUCAAUGGGCGCUAGCCUGAACCAGCCAAGUAGCGUGAAGGAUGACUGCCCUAUGGGUUGUAAACUUCUUUUAUAUGGGAAUAAAGUGCAGUAUGUAUACUGCUUUGCAUGUACCUUAUGAAUAAGGAUCGGCUAACUCCGUGCCAGCAGCCGCGGUAAUACGGAGGAUCCGAGCGUUAUCCGGAUUUAUUGGGUUUAAAGGGAGCGUAGGCGGGUUGUUAAGUCAGUUGUGAAAGUUUGCGGCUCAACCGUAAAAUUGCAGUUGAUACUGGCAGCCUUGAGUACAGUAGAGGUAGGCGGAAUUCGUGGUGUAGCGGUGAAAUGCUUAGAUAUCACGAAGAACUCCGAUUGCGAAGGCAGCCUGCUGGACUGUAACUGACGCUGAUGCUCGAAAGUGUGGGUAUCAAACAGGAUUAGAUACCCUAGUAGUC